UUUUAAAUAGUUUAAAAUAAAAACAUUGAUUUGUGGUAUCAAAAAUAUUAAAAAAAAUUUUAAAUU
rnacentral:tRNA from 1 species